UAUAUAUAUAAUCAUGUUUGUGUCCCUCACGUUCGUCCACGUCACUAAGUCGUGCUUCCUGGUGUUGACACCUGUCCAGUCUGCCAAAACGCAGCGCUUCAUUUAUUGUGUUAUGCGGCCCGACGGCCCAUGAAUGAAAACCCCAAAUCUGAUUAAGCAAAAAAAAAUUAGAGUUGGACUCUCCUGUUACUUCAGCGGCAGCGACUCCUGAGGUUCUCCGAAAUCUCUGUAACAGUGGGAGUUAUGAGCUAUGCCGGAGCUUCGCCAUGGAGUCCGUCGUGGCUCUGAUCGUCUUACAGACAAGAAACAGAGGACCACGACAAAAGGGUUGCUAGCGAUUAGUAAAAAUAGUGGUGGCUCCAACAAGGCGGCUGCACAUGAAGAAGAAGGAAAUACUCCUCCUUUCCCUAAAAGGGUCUAAUUUGGAGAAUUACUGAUGUGUAAAGGUUGAGAAAGCUGAGAAAAGGUGGUUUUGGACAAGUGUUUGUGGGACGUGUAUUAGUGGUGGUAAUGAACAUAAUACAUGAGCUAGCAUCUUAGAGUAAGUUGCUCUGAAGUUUGAGCAUCGAACCGGCACGGGGUUGAAGAAGACGUGUUCACCCUGAGCGGGAAAAUUCCAUCUCGCCGACCACAAAAGAGGACACUGACCUUCCAGAAACAUCUCGAUGCAAGUCACCAGAUGUUCGAGGAGUUGCCUUGCACACAAUUUUACAAAGAAAUAUAUCGUCUUAGUCUCCCACCUGGGAUGUCUGCGGUUUGUAGAUGGUGCUGCAGCAAACAUCUAAAUAACUCAUUUUAUAAGUUAGUUCAAAGCUUCUCAUAUCACUACUUAUUCUUCUCAGUUUUUUUUUUUAAAUCAACAUUUAUUUGUUCCCGAGGGUUUCUUUUUUUUUUUUACUUAUGAAAAACUUACAUUAUAACUUAUCUUAUAAAGCGGUAGAUGCAAUCGAUCCUCUUAAAUUUUUUGAAUAUAUCUUCAGCUGUAACCUCUUUGGUUGUGUGGAAGAAAGCAUUGGUUCGUUUAUGUAUAUACAAACGUUAAUGGUCACACCUCCUAUAUAUCCUAAUAAGUCAUUUAGAUUUUUUUCUGCAAUUGCUUAUGUUCCUGAUUUAGGCUCUAAUACUAUCUAAAGUAAGGUAUGCUUUUCAAGAAAUAUAUGACUUUUGCUUUGUCAACUACACAACUUUCGUUGGUCUUACCCACACUCAUUUCAAUAUUAUAUUUCUUCCUUGCAUAUGCUAUUAAACAGGUUAAUAUGAAUCUUAGUUUUGGUCUCAGGCUUAAAAUCAGAGUAGUAAUGUUUUCUAUCUCAGUUUCGAGAAACAAAGGUUGUUUUCAAGGUGGAGAUGUCAAACUGAGACGCUCUCCUAGAUGGUUAACUGAAACAUAGCGAUGCUCUGAUGGCAUAGCGAACAGCCACAAAAGCAGUGGUUCGGAUUUAGGAAGCAUUUAGAGAUAAUGCAAUGAAGUCGGCACACUCAAAGGUCAUCCAUUUAGAGAUAAUGCAAUGAAGUCGGCACACUCAAAGGUCAUCCAUUUAGAGAUAACGCAAUGAAGUCGGCACACUCAAUGCAAUGAAGAACAGGCACACUCAAGUUUGCAACCCAUGAGUGUUUGUGAAAGACUGUUUAUUUACUUUUCUUUUGUACUAUGUUUUUACGGGGUUAAAAAUAAGAAAAUAGUACUAGAAGACUAUAUGGUCGACAUGAUUGUUGGAGAAGACAAUAAUCAGAUGGAGAGGAAAGAUAAAAUUGUUUAGAAGACUCCAGUUGAGCAAAGCUAAAGCUGAAGAAAGCCGCCGUGGUCAAGCAAAUGAAGUUUUCUCCAGCGCAAGAUUUCUAUCACAUUUUUCAUUUUUUAUUAAAUUUUGUUGCAUUAAUUUGGAAAUAAAAAGCAAAUCAACACGAGUCCUAACUCACAGGAUUCCUAUAAUUAUCAAUCAAAAAAAAAAAAAAGGAUACUAUAGUGAAUACAAAAAUCUCAUGGUAUUAAAAAAUAAAAUUAAUAAUAGUAAUAAUCCCAUAGUACUAUGAACAAUUAAAAUAUUGUAGCUAUUUUUUGCCACACCUUGAUAUCAAAGGGUCAAUCCAAAAUAAAUAAAGGGAUGUGUAAUUGAAGAAACAUUUAACCAUGGACGUCAGACUUUAAAUAAAUUUUCGAUAUAUAAACAGAAAAUAAGUUCUCACAUCUAUACAACAAAAUUAUACUUUAAUAAAAUAUGCUCUACAAAAUACUAUAUAAAACAUGAAAGCAGAGAAAUAGAUAUUAAAUAACUAACAAAAUUAAGAAAGGAAUUAAUGUUUCUCAUUUGAAAUAAAUAUUUAUUAGUGUUUGAAUUCGGAUAAAUGUUACGCUCAGUUUCUCCAUUUAAAAUAAUACAAUUGUUUUUUUUUGUUGCUAACAUUUGGAUUUGUUAUUUGUACAUUUUUGCCUUAUCAUAAACAUAUUAAUAAAUUAGUUCAGAAUAUAUAAAAUUAGUUCAGAACAAAGUGGAUAAAAGCUAGCGAAUCAGUCUAUCCUACGAAUGUGUUAGGAAGCAUCGUAUUAAUGAAAUCUCUAUUAAAAGUUCUUUUCAACAACGUGUUUGAUGUAUCUUAUGUUUCAUGUAAUCUGUUACAUUGAUUUGAUAUCAAUAAAGUUAAAGAUGAUAAAAAAAAAAACUAGAAACAUCAAAUAAAAGUUACAAAGAAAGACUAAGAAAUUUAUUACUCUUUUAGUAAACAAUUCAAAAUUCAACAUGGUUAAUUAGGUUACAAUACAUUCAGUAACCAUAAUUACUCAUUAUAAUUUAGAAAAUACCCAAGGAUAGCACUAAAAAAUUUUGGUCAUAAAAAUAGACUCUAAGAAUCAAAAUAACCAAAAUGUUUUAUUAAAGAGGUAAAUAUACAUUUUUACCCCUAGGAUUAACUAAUCCAAACCUUAGGGUUUAGAAUUAAGGGUUGGAGAUUUGAGAUUGAGGUUUAAAAAUAAAAAUUUGAAAAUAAAAAUUUUAAAAAUAGUUUCAAAAAGUAUUUUCGAAUUACAAAAACAAAAUUUGAAAAAAAAAUUAAAAACAAAUUCGAAAAAAUAUUUCAAAAAAAAAAUUAUAGAAAAGUUUGAAUUUGAAAACAUAUAAUCUAAAACUAUAAAAAAAAUAUUUUUUUUAUUUUCUUUAUAUUUUUAUUUAUUAUUUAUCUGGGGUAUUAAGGUCUUUUUACUUAUUAAAUGAAACAUUUUGGUCACUUUCCUCCUUGUGAUCUAUUUUUGUGACCAAAACUUGAAAAUGAUCUAUUUAUGAUAAUUGCCAUUAUAAUUUCACCAUAACAUAAAGCAAAAAUAAAUUUUCAAAUAUAACAUAAAUACAAAAAAAACAACAACAAUUGUUAAUAAUGGUAAUUACUAGCAUUGUCCUAAACAACUACAAAAUGUCUUCAAAAAUAAAAAUUCAUUCUCCAUUGUAUUAAAUACACUAACAAAAAAAAAACUGGUAUUUAAAAAUUCAAUCUCAUUCUCUUAACAUAAUCACACUCACAACUUGAGGUUGGCACAAAUCAAAUAUCCAGGUUUGUGGAGGUAUUCAUCAUCCGAUCUGUUUUGGCCAAAUAAUCAAUUAUCCAAUAUGAUUCGAUCCACCGUCAUCUGGAUAUUCGAUGUUCCGGAUAUCCAAAACAUUUUAAAUUUUUGACCGGAUAUCUGAUUCGAUCUGUAAAAUAAAUAAAAUAUAAAGUAAAUAAAAAUAAAAAAUAAUAUAAAAUAAUAAUAUUUUAUUAAAAUAGAAGUUUGUUUACUUUUAAAAAAUUAUAAUAAUUAAUAUAAUAAAUAUAUUAAAUAAAAUUACUGAAAAUUAUAUAAAAUACAAUAUUUAUACAACUUCUAUAUAUACUUCUUUAAAUAUAUGAAUAUAUAUGCAUAUAACGGAUCAGAUCAGAUAUCCGUUCCUAAAAAUAUUAGUAUUUGUGAUUUGAUUCGUUUCUUACGGAUAUUACAUAUUAUUAUUUUCUUUGCUUCGUAGAGUUACGGAUAUCCAGAUUUUUCGGUUCGAAUCGAAACAUAUAAGAAAUCGAAUCAAAAUUUACGGAUAUUUUUCUUAGCUCUACUCAAAACCAAAUGAACAUAGAAAAGAAAAUUGAGUAAAAUUUAUACAAAAUUAUAUAUUUCAUAAAAACAUAUAUAUCAAAUCCUGCGCGUAGCGCGGACCCGACCUAGUAUCUAUUAUUAUAAAGAAGAGUUUAAUCACUCCUCAUGCCUCCACGUCACCCGCCAGCUAGAUAAGUCGAUGGCUGUGCGCAUGACAUCUGUCCAACUAAUAAAACACUCCGUUUCUUUUUUUUCGUGCAGUCUGUUGGGCCUGUCUUAUUGGCAUGUCUUAUUAGUUUAUAUCUGAUCUAUUCUAAACGCUACUUUUUUAAUUAUGUUUUCUGUGCUCUUCUUCUCCGCAGUAGGCAACGUUUAGGGCUUCCAUGGAAACUGAUUCUUCUUCCUCCUGAUCCACCAGUCAAUCGGAGCCGUAGUGAAUCUAGAGUUUCCAGCGAACUAUUCAUCUUCUUCAUACUGAUCAAGUAAUCAAUCAAUUACAGAAUCAUUGCUAUUAAAUUCUCUCUAGAUUCUCCUGCGUCGAUAUGCUCCUGCUUGAUUCGAUUGCAAAUCUUAUGCCAGCCACCGUUGCUGCUAGCCGUGUUCCGACCUUUGGUCCCCAUCUCACGGCGGGGUCGAUGUAUUCCACAACCGGUUUCGAUGUGGCUCGGUGUAAUCCAAACUUCAGGCUGUCAGACUCCUCUUUGUUUGUUCGGUUCAGUGAUGUAACCUCCUUGAAUGUGUUGACUGAGCCGACUUCUCCACUACAUGAAGAGUGUUUCCGGAUUCGUAUUCAAAGCGAGAUGCUUGCUCUAGCACACACCAUCUCUCAACUCCUGGGUAAUCAUUUUUUGAUUGUCAUCAUACUAACUGGAAAUUAAAUUUAAAUUUCCAUUUUUUCAGACAUCAUUGGGGAGAUCACAGCAGUUAUCUUACGUUACGGUUCGAUGCACGUGAAGUCAUGUGAUUGGGUUGAGCCUGAUCCAUCAGAGCUAGACAAUCCAUUACAAGCAAGACCCGCAAAGCUGGUCAAGGAUACUGACAUGACGGCUCCUUGCCCAGCAACCACACUGUAUCCAACAACCGGUGGCAACAUCCAUUGUUUCGAAGUCAUUACUCACUGUGCAAUCUUGGGUAUCUUAUCUCCUCCGUACUCUCCUACUCAUGGAAGACACUGAAACUACUUCCGGAAAUCCCCAAUCUGUGACUUGCCUGGUGAGAUUGAAUUGAUGAAUGGAGACAUUCACCUUUCAAGUUAAUGUUAGUGCAUACAACUUCACUGCAAAUCAUCAGACUUUCACAAUCAAUGGAUUCUUAACGGAAGUGAUCGUUCACCGUUCCCUGAUUUCGUUGAUACAGUAGACAACAUGAACAAGAGGGAGGACAUACCAGUUGACAGAACGGUUCUUACUAAGGUUGAAACUGGAGGUGGCAGUCAGCAGACAGCACCAGAUGGUGGAGAACCACAGAGGCCUUCAGCUAGAGCAGCUUGGAAGAUGGUACAGAAGGAGCGUCUAGCUUAGUGCUUUGUCACCAGAUUUUCUUUAGCAUCAAUGUUGGCGGUUUUAAUAUUAAGGAUGUGGUGUUUGCAUCUGUUUAAUUUUUAAACUUUCUAAACAAUCUGUAUUUUCUGAAUUUUCUAUAAAAAUAUAUUUGGUUUUACGAAAAACAAA